UGGGCUAUGAACUCAUAAACAUGUAAAACACUCUUGCUUCAAGUUUUAAACCUUUCACUAAAUAUUUGAUUCAUAUUUCUAGUACUCUACAUAAUUAUGUAUAUUAUAUGAUCAAAGAUUUUGAAAUCAGGUUUGUAUUUUUUUCUCCCAUGGAUAAAACUAUUGGACUGAUUCAUCUCACUUGGACUAAGAUCCUAAAGCUAAAAGUUGCAAUCAUUCACCAUGAAAUGCUUAUGGAUUAGCUAUCUCCUAUAGUAGAGACUAGAGCAAAAUGUGAUUAGUUUUGAAAUGUUCCAUAUGAAACAUGAUUUGGAGUUCAACUUUCGUUGUCAUUUCUUGCUAUUGGUGGAACAAUCCAUGUUAGCUGAACUUCUUUUAGCUGCCAUUGUUACUGAUUAUUUGUUUUCAUUCUAGUACAUCAAAGAUCUGCUGUCAAAUUAUAGAAAGGCUUGUACUAAAUAAAUUGUCAAAUUUGAAAUGCAUCAAAACAGAAAGCGACCACUGCCCAUUGGCAUUUGGCAUUGUGUAACAAUUAACAUUAUUGAAGUAAUAGAAAGUUGAAAUGAUCAACUAAAUUAUACUUCUAACAUGGAUUGUCAAAUUAUAUGGUAACAGAAAGUUGAAGUAAUAGAACAAUACAUGAUUAUUUGAUUCAUUUCGCUGUCAUUUCGCAUCAUUCCAAAUUAGUAGUAGACCUGGGAGGUACGUUCAUUGCAGUGCGUUGCUUUCUUUUUAUUAAUGUUUUAGUAAUAACUCAUAAUGAUGUGUGCUUCCCUGUGAAUGAUGGCUGAGAGUGUUCUGGAUGAGAGGACUCAUCGGAGGGCAACACUUGAAGCAACUCUUCGUGAGGUUUUAUUUCAGAUAAUAAAAUUUGUGAAUGAGAAAAAAGAUCAUGUUCCAUCCAUACCGAAUCUUGAAAGUGUCUCCUUUCCCUAUGAAAUUACUGUCUCAAGGAUGAAAAUCGGGCAGCUUGGAUUUAGCCCACAUACAUAGCAUUCAACUUUUCUAGGAACCUAAGAAGAAGAUUCAAGGUGCAAGCUUGGAUUUGAGGAACAUAAAUCUCCAUGGUAACAAAUUGGAACUAGACCGGUACCUUGUACAAUGGUGAACAUCAGCAUUGUAGAUUUUGACUUUACUAGCAUUUUAUCUAGAUUGUAUAUUUUUCAUAAAAGAACUUUUUUCGAAGUUUUUAGUUGUAAUAACUUUCACAUAUGGCUCCAAUUUUAAGACUCAAAUGGAAUGCCUAAUUAAACUACAAUGUUAUAUUGUCUAAA